rnacentral:rRNA from 1 species
UACGUAGGGGGCUAGCGUUGUCCGGAAUCAUUGGGCGUAAAGCGCGCGUAGACGGCCAGAUAAGUCCGGUGUGAAAGUCACAGGCUCAACCUGUGAAUGCCGCUGGAAACUGUCUGGCUAGAGUCCGGAAGGGGCGAGUGGAAUUCCUGGUGUAGCGGUGAAAUGCGCAGAUAUCAGGAGGAACACCAAUGGCGAAGGCAGCUCGCUGGGACGGUACUGACGCUGAGGCACGAAAGUGUGGGGAUCAAACAGG